UACAGAGGGUGCGAGCGUUAAUCGGAAUUACUGGGCGUAAAGCGUGCGUAGGCGGUUUGAUAAGUCGGGUGUGAAAGCCCCGGGCUUAACCUGGGAAUUGCAUUCGAUACUGUCUGACUCGAGUCUGGGAGAGGGAAGCGGAAUUCCGGGUGUAGCGGUGAAAUGCGUAGAUAUCCGGAGGAACAUCAGUGGCGAAGGCGGCUUCCUGGCCUAAGACUGACGCUGAGGUACGAAAGCGUGGGGAGCAAACAGG
rnacentral:rRNA from 1 species